rnacentral:rRNA from 1 species
AAAGCGUGCGCAGGCGGUUUUAUAAGUCUGAUGUGAAAUCCCCGGGCUCAACCUGGGAACUGCAUUGGAGACUGUAAGGCUAGAGUGUGUCAGAGGGGGGUAGAAUUCCACGUGUAGCAGUGAAAUGCGUAGAUAUAUGGAGGAAUACCGAUGGCGAAGGCAGCCCCCUGGGAUAACACUGACGCUCAUGCACGAAAGCGUGGGGAGCAAACAGGAUUAGAUACCCGAGU